CACGGAGGGUGCAAGCGUUACUCGGAAUCACUGGGCGUAAAGGGUGCGUAGGCGGGUUAUCAAGUCUCGAGUGAAAUCCAACGGCUUAACCGUUGAACUGCUUGGGAAACUGGAUAGCUUGAGUACGGGAGAGGCAGAUGGAAUUGGUGGUGUAGGGGUAAAAUCCGUAGAGAUCACCAGGAAUACCCAUUGCGAAGGCGAUCUGCUGGAACUCAACUGACGCUGAGGCACGAAAGCGUGGGGAG
rnacentral:rRNA from 1 species